rnacentral:rRNA from 1 species
AUCUCCAGUCAUACCACCCUGAAUAGGCCUACCUUUUCUGAUCUCAAAACCUGAGCAGGGUAGUGCCUUGAUAGUACUUGAAUGGAAAAUUGCCUGAGAAUACCAAGUGCUGUGGGCU